AGUGAACGCUGGCGGUUGGCCUAACACAUGCAAGUCGAACGGCAGCACAGUAAGAGCUUGCUCUUACGGGUGGCGAGUGGCGGACGGGUGAGGAAUACAUCGGAAUCUACUUUUUCGUGGGGGAUAACGUAGGGAAACUUACGCUAAUACCGCAUACGACCUACGGGUGAAAGCGGGGGAUCUUCGGACCUUGCGCGAUUGAAUGAGCCGAUGUCGGAUUAGCUAGUUGGCGGGGUAAAGGCCCACCAAGGCGACGAUCCGUAGCUGGUCUGAGAGGAUGAUCAGCCACACUGGAACUGAGACACGGUCCAGACUCCUACGGGAGGCAGCAGUGGGGAAUAUUGGACAAUGGGCGCAAGCCUGAUCCAGCCAUACCGCGUGGGUGAAGAAGGCCUUCGGGUUGUAAAGCCCUUUUGUUGGGAAAGAAAAGCAGCAGGUUAAUACCCCGCUGUUCUGACGGUACCCAAAGAAUAAGCACCGGCUAACUUCGUG
rnacentral:rRNA from 1 species